rnacentral:misc_RNA from 1 species
GCUUAUCCUUUUUAUGCUGAGUUCAAAAACACUGGAUUGGAAAGGUCUGAAAAGCUGGCAAAAGAUUUGGAGUGGUUCAAAGAACAGGGCUAUGUCAUUCCAGAAGCCUCUUCUGCUGGUGCCAGUUAUGCACAGUGUCUGAAAGAACUGUCAGAGAAGGACCCUCAAGCUUUUAUUUGUCACUUCUACAAUAUAUAUUUUGCCCACAGUGCUGGUGGUAGAAUGAUUGGGAAGAAGGUGGCUGAGAAGAUACUUAACAAAAAGGAAUUGGAGUUCUAUAAAUGGGAUGGUGACCUAAAACAACUGUUGCAGAAUGUUAGGGACAAGUUAAAUAAAGUUGCUGAGAGCUGGACUAGAGAAGAGAAGAACCAUUGUUUGGAAGAAACUGAAAAGUCAUUCCUGAAAAGUCAUUCAAAUAUUCAGGGGCGAUCCUUCGUCUAAUAUUAUCGUGAUGUGGAUGGUUCCUUGAUCUCCUUGUAAUGUUGUGUAACCAUGCGCAAGCUUAAGUAUCCAAGUUUAUAU